CCAUAGGUUAAUGAGGCGAACCGGGGGAACUGAAACAUCUAAGUACCCCGAGGAAAAGAAAUCAACCGAGAUUCCCCCAGUAGCGGCGAGCGAACGGGGAGGAGCCCAGAGCCUGAAUCAGUGUGUGUGUUAGUGGAAGCGUCUGGAAAGGCGUGCGAUACAGGGUGACAGCCCCGUACACAAAAAUGCACAUACUGUGAGCUCGAUGAGUAGGGCGGGACACGUGGUAUCCUGUCUGAAUAUGGGGGGACCAUCCUCCAAGGCUAAAUACUCCUGACUGACCGAUAGUGAACCAGUACCGUGAGGGAAAGGCGAAAAGAACCCCGGCGAGGGGAGUGAAAAAGAACCUGAAACCGUGUACGUACAAGCAGUGGGAGCCUCUUAAUGGGGUGACUGCGUACCUUUUGUAUAAUGGGUCAGCGACUUAUAUUCUGUAGCAAGGUUAACCGAAUAGGGGAGCCGAAGGGAAACCGAGUCUUAACUGGGCGUUAAGUUGCAGGGUAUAGACCCGAAACCCGGUGAUCUAGCCAUGGGCAGGUUGAAGGUUGGGUAACACUAACUGGAGGACCGAACCGACUAAUGUUGAAAAAUUAGCGGAUGACUUGUGGCUGGGGGUGAAAGGCCAAUCAAACCGGGAGAUAGCUGGUUCUCCCCGAAAGCUAUUUAGGUAGCGCCUCGUGAAUUCAUCUCCGGGGGUAGAGCACUGUUUCGGCAAGGGGGUCAUCCCGACUUACCAACCCGAUGCAAACUGCGAAUACCGGAGAAUGUUAUCACGGGAGACACACGGCGGGUGCUAACGUCCGUCGUGAAGAGGGAAACAACCCAGACCGCCAGCUAAGGUCCCAAAGUCAUGGUUAAGUGGGAAACGAUGUGGGAAGGCCCAGACAGCCAGGAUGUUGGCUUAGAAGCAGCCAUCAUUUAAAGAAAGCGUAAUAGCUCACUGGUCGAGUCGGCCUGCGCGGAAGAUGUAACGGGGCUAAACCAUGCACCGAAGCUGCGGCAGCGACACUAUGUGUUGUUGGGUAGGGGAGCGUUCUGUAAGCCUGUGAAGGUGUACUGUGAGGUAUGCUGGAGGUAUCAGAAGUGCGAAUGCUGACAUAAGUAACGAUAAAGCGGGUGAAAAGCCCGCUCGCCGGAAGACCAAGGGUUCCUGUCCAACGUUAAUCGGGGCAGGGUGAGUCGACCCCUAAGGCGAGGCCGAAAGGCGUAGUCGAUGGGAAACAGGUUAAUAUUCCUGUACUUGGUGUUACUGCGAAGGGGGGACGGAGAAGGCUAUGUUGGCCGGGCGACGGUUGUCCCGGUUUAAGCGUGUAGGCUGGUUUUCCAGGCAAAUCCGGAAAAUCAAGGCUGAGGCGUGAUGACGAGGCACUACGGUGCUGAAGCAACAAAUGCCCUGCUUCCAGGAAAAGCCUCUAAGCAUCAGGUAACAUCAAAUCGUACCCCAAACCGACACAGGUGGUCAGGUAGAGAAUACCAAGGCGCUUGAGAGAACUCGGGUGAAGGAACUAGGCAAAAUGGUGCCGUAACUUCGGGAGAAGGCACGCUGAUAUGUAGGUGAAGUCCCUCGCGGAUGGAGCUGAAAUCAGUCGAAGAUACCAGCUGGCUGCAACUGUUUAUUAAAAACACAGCACUGUGCAAACACGAAAGUGGACGUAUACGGUGUGACGCCUGCCCGGUGCCGGAAGGUUAAUUGAUGGGGUUAGCGGUAACGCGAAGCUCUUGAUCGAAGCCCCGGUAAACGGCGGCCGUAACUAUAACGGUCCUAAGGUAGCGAAAUUCCUUGUCGGGUAAGUUCCGACCUGCACGAAUGGCGUAAUGAUGGCCAGGCUGUCUCCACCCGAGACUCAGUGAAAUUGAACUCGCUGUGAAGAUGCAGUGUACCCGCGGCAAGACGGAAAGACCCCGUGAACCUUUACUAUAGCUUGACACUGAACAUUGAGCCUUGAUGUGUAGGAUAGGUGGGAGGCUUUGAAGUGUGGACGCCAGUCUGCAUGGAGCCGGCCUUGAAAUACCACCCUUUAAUGUUUGAUGUUCUAACGUUGGCCCCUGACCGGGGUUGCGGACAGUGUCUGGUGGGUAGUUUGACUGGGGCGGUCUCCUCCUAAAGAGUAACGGAGGAGCACGAAGGUUGGCUAAUCCUGGUCGGACAUCAGGAGGUUAGUGCAAUGGCAUAAGCCAGCUUGACUGCGAGCGUGACGGCGCGAGCAGGUGCGAAAGCAGGUCAUAGUGAUCCGGUGGUUCUGAAUGGAAGGGCCAUCGCUCAACGGAUAAAAGGUACUCCGGGGAUAACAGGCUGAUACCGCCCAAGAGUUCAUAUCGACGGCGGUGUUUGGCACCUCGAUGUCGGCUCAUCACAUCCUGGGGCUGAAGUAGGUCCCAAGGGUAUGGCUGUUCGCCAUUUAAAGUGGUACGCGAGCUGGGUUUAGAACGUCGUGAGACAGUUCGGUCCCUAUCUGCCGUGGGCGCUGGAGAACUGAGGGGGGCUGCUCCUAGUACGAGAGGACCGGAGUGGACGCAUCACUGGUGUUCGGGUUGUCAUGCCAAUGGCACUGCCCGGUAGCUAAAUGCGGAAGAGAUAAGUGCUGAAAGCAUCUAAGCACGAAACUUGCCCCGAGAUGAGUUCUCCCUGACUCCUUGAGAGUCCUGAAGGAACGUUGAAGACGACGACGUUGAUAGGCCGGGUGUGUAAGCGCAGCGAUGCGUUGAGCUAACCGGUACUAAUGAACCGUGAGGCUUAACCUUACAA
rnacentral:rRNA from 1 species